rnacentral:rRNA from 1 species
ACGGAGGGUGCAAGCGUUAUCCGGAUUCACUGGGUUUAAAGGGUGCGUAGGUGGGUUGAUAAGUCAGUGGUGAAAUCCCCGAGCUUAACUUGGGAACUGCCAUUGAUACUAUUGAUCUUGAAUACCGUGGAGGUCAGCGGAAUAUGUCAUGUAGCGGUGAAAUGCUUAGAUAUGACAUAGAACACCAAUUGCGAAGGCAGCUGGCUACGCGAAUAUUGACACUGAUGCACGAAAGCGUGGGGAUCAAACAGGA